UUUGGGCAAUUGAUGAAUUCCUUUAUGCAAUGGGUAAUUUGCGUCUGAUAAUCUUUACUGAUGCUAUCACCUUGGAGACCUGAUGCCCUUU
rfam:Gossypium arboreum cultivar AKA8401 contig_32880_5, whole genome shotgun sequence.